CUUUCUCAGCACGCGGCUGUUUGCUGGCAUUGUUGAUAAAAAAAAAAUCUAAUCAAAUUAAAGCAUGAUUUGUAACACACGUGGAUCUGAUCACGCAGCGUCCAGACCACCAUGAGAAAUGUGCUCUUCAAGUUCUGCACGUGAACACUUGAGUGUUGAUCAGAUUGAGUGAGACCUGCUGGAGCUAUUCGGGUGUUUGGUGAUAAACUGGCAGGAUGAUAUGAGUGUGAUGAUCUCGUGGCCACUUUACUCGUGCAAGAUAAAAUGUUCACUGUUAUUGAAGUGGUGCUCUUCAAGAUCUGCACGUGAACAUUUGAGAGUUGAUCAGAUUGAGUAAGACCACCACCUGGAGCUGUUUGGGGUGUUUUGUGAAACUGGAAUGGAGACACCCCACCGUGAUGUGAUGACAAAUGGAAAGACGAGACAAAACUCAAAUGCAUAAAUUUACUAAAGUAUCAAAGUCAUUUAAUAAAGGGUAUAAAACAA